GAUGAACGCUGGCGGCGUGCUUAACACAUGCAAGUCGAACGAAGCACUUUAUUUGAUUUCCUUCGGGACUGAUUAUUUUGUGACUGAGUGGCGGACGGGUGAGUAACGCGUGGGUAACCUGCCUUGUACAGGGGGAUAACAGUUGGAAACGGCUGCUAAUACCGCAUAAGCGCACAGCAUCGCAUGAUGCAGUGUGAAAAACUCCGGUGGUAUAAGAUGGACCCGCGUUGGAUUAGCUAGUUGGUGAGGUAACGGCCCACCAAGGCGACGAUCCAUAGCCGACCUGAGAGGGUGACCGGCCACAUUGGGACUGAGACACGGCCCAAACUCCUACGGGAGGCAGCAGUGGGGAAUAUUGCACAAUGGGCGAAAGCCUGAUGCAGCGACGCCGCGUGAGCGAAGAAGUACUUCGGUAUGUAAAGCUCUAUCAGCAGGGAAGAUAAUGACGGUACCUGACUAAGAAGCACCGGCUAAAUACGUG
rnacentral:rRNA from 1 species